rnacentral:pre_miRNA from 9 species
CUCGAAUAGCAUAAAAGUUAACCCGAAUUUGUGUGGAGUGGGAACGUUCGCCUACGUUUACUACUAGAGGCGCUGUUCUAACUGCAUACAAAUUUGCGUUAACUUAUACGCUAUCGA